rnacentral:rRNA from 1 species
AGUGAACGCUGGCGGUAGGCCUAACACAUGCAAGUCGAACGGCAGCACAGGAGAGCUUGCUCUCUGGGUGGCGAGUGGCGGACGGGUGAGGAAUACAUCGGAAUCUACUCUGUCGUGGGGGAUAACGUAGGGAAACUUACGCUAAUACCGCAUACGACCUACGGGUGAAAGCAGGGGACCUUCGGGCCUUGCGCGAUUGAAUGAGCCGAUGUCGGAUUAGCUAGUUGGCGGGGUAAAGGCCCACCAAGGCGACGAUCCGUAGCUGGUCUGGGAGGAUGAUCAGCCACACUGGAACUGAGACACGGUCCAGACUCCUACGGGAGGCAGCAGUGGGGAAUAUUGGACAAUGGGCGCAAGCCUGAUCCAGCCAUACCGCGUGGGUGAAGAAGGCCUUCGGGUUGUAAAGCCCUUUUGUUGGGAAAGAAAUCCAGCUGGCUAAUACCCGGUUGGGAUGACGGUACCCAAAGAAUAAGCACCGGCUAACUUCUUGCCAGCAGCCGCAGUAA